GUCAGCUCGUGUCGUGAGAUGUUGGGUUAAGUCCCGCAACGAGCGCAACCCUUAAGCUUAGUUGCCAUCAUUAAGUUGGGCACUCUAAGUUGACUGCCGGUGACAAACCGGAGGAAGGUGGGGAUGACGUCAAAUCAUCAUGCCCCUUAUGAUUUGGGCUACACACGUGCUACAAUGGACAAUACAAAGGGCAGCGAAACCGCGAGGUCAAGCAAAUCCCAUAAAGUUGUUCUCAGUUCGGAUUGUAGUCUGCAACUCGACUACAUGAAGCUGGAAUCGCUAGUAAUCGUAGAUCAGCAUGCUACGGUGAAUACGUUCCCGGGUCUUGUACACACCGCCCGUCACACCACGAGAGUUUGUAACACCCGAAGCCGGUGGAGUAACCUUUUAGGAGCUAGCCGUCGAAGGUGGGACAAAUGAUUGGGGUGAAGUCGUAACAAGGUAGCCGUAUCGGAAGGUGCGGCUGGAUCACCUCCUUUCUAAGGAUAUA
rnacentral:rRNA from 1 species